GCAGCAGGCGCGCAAAUUACCCACUCCCGGCACGGGGAGGUAGUGACGAAAAAUAACGAUACGGGACUCAUCCGAGGCCCCGUAAUCGGAAUGAGAACAUUCUAAACCCUUUAACGAGAAUCAAUUGGAGGGCAAGUCUGGUGCCAGCAGCCGCGGUAAUUCCAGCUCCAAUAGCGUAUAUUAAAGUUGUUGCGGUUAAAAAGCUCGUAGUCGAAAUUGUGUCUCGCGCCGCCGGUUCAUCGUUCGCGGUGCUAACUGGCGUGUCGCGAGACGUCCUGCCGGCGGGCUUAGCUCGCAAGAGCGGUCCAACUUAAUCCCGCCGCGGUGCUCUUUACUGAGUGUCGAGGUGGGCCGGCACGUUUACUUUGAACAAAUUAGAGUGCUUAAAGCAGGCUCAAACUUCGCUUGAAUAUUGCGUGCAUGGAAUAAUGAAAGAGGACCUCGGUUCUAUUUUGUUGGUUUUCAGAACCACGAGGUAAUGAUUAACAGGAACGGAUGGGGGCAUUCGUAUUGCGACGUUAGAGGUGAAAUUCUUGGAUCGUCGCAAGACGGACAGAAGCGAAAGCAUUUGCCAAAAACGUUUUCAUUGAUCAAGAACGAAAGUUAGAGGUUCGAAGGCGAUCAGAUACCGCCCUAGUUCUAACCAUAAACGAUGCCAGCUAGCGAUCCGCCGACGUUCCUCCGAUGACUCGGCGGGCAGCUUCCGGGAAACCAAAGCUUUUGGGUUCCGGGGGAAGUAUGGUUGCAAAGCUGAAACUUAAAGGAAUUGACGGAAGGGCACCACCAGGAGUGGAGCCUGCGGCUUAAUUUGACUCACCACGGGAAACCUCAUCAGGCCCGGACACCGGAAGGAUUGACAGAUUGAGAGCUCUUUCUUGAUUCGGUGGGUGGUGGUGCAUGGCCGU
rnacentral:rRNA from 1 species